AGCAGCCGCGGUAAUUCCAGCUCCAAUAGCGUAUAUUAAAGUUGCUGCAGUUAAAAAGCUCGUAGUUGAAUUUCGGGACCAUCAUGUCGGUCGUGCCUCGGUACGUACUGGCAUUGUUGGUUUCUCCCUUCUGACGAACCAUGAUGUCAUUUAUUUGGUGUUGUGGGAAAUCAGGACUGUUACUUUGAAAAAUUAGAGUGUUUAAAGCAGGCUCACGCUUGAAUACAUUAGCAUGGAAUAAUGAAAUAGGACGUUUGAUUCUAUUUUGUUGGUUUCUAGGAUCGACGUAAUGAUUAAUAGGGAUAGUUGGGGGCAUUAGUAUUCAAUUGUCAGAGGUGAAAUUCUUGGAUUUAUUGAAGACUAACUACUGCGAAAGCAUUUGCCAAGGAUGUUUUCAUUAAUCAAGAACGAAAGUUAGGGGAUCGAAGACGAUCAGAUACCGUCGUAGCC
rnacentral:rRNA from 1 species